AUACGUAGGUGGCAAGCGUUGUCCGGAAUUACUGGGUGUAAAGGGCGUGUAGGCGGGGAUGCAAGUCCGAUGUGAAAUUCCGGGGCUCAACCCCGGCACUGCAUUUGAAACUGUGGCUCUUGAGUGCUGGAGAGGAAAGCGGAAUUCCUAGUGUAGCGGUGAAAUGCGUAGAUAUUAGGAGGAACACCAGUGGCGAAGGCGGCUUUCUGGACAGUAGCUGACGCUGAGGCGCGAAAGCGUGGGUAGCGAACAGGACUAGAUACCCUGGUAGUCCACGCCGUAAACGAUGGAUACUAGGUGUAGGAGGUAUCGACCCCUUCUGUGCCGGAGUUAACACAAUAAGUAUCCCACCUGGGGAGUACGGCCGCAAGGUUGAAACUCAAAUGAAUUGACGGGG
rnacentral:rRNA from 1 species